GAUGAACGCUGGCGGCGUGCCUAAUACAUGCAAGUCGAGCGAACGGACGAGAAGCUUGCUUUUCUGAUGUUAGCGGCGGACGGGUGAGUAACACGUGGAUAACCUACCUAUAAGACUGGGAUAACUUCGGGAAACCGGAGCUAAUACCGGAUAAUAUUUUGAACCGCAUGGUUCAAAAGUGAAAGGCGGUCUUGCUGUCACUUAUAGAUGGAUCCGCGCUGCAUUAGCUAGUUGGUAAGGUAACGGCUUACCAAGGCAACGAUGCAUAGCCCACAUGAGAGGGUGAUCGGCCACGAUGGAACUGAGACACGGUCCAGACUCCUACGGGAGGAAGAAGUAGGUAAUCUUCCGCAAUGGGCGAAAGCCUGACGGAGCGACGCCGCGUAUGGGAUGAAGGUCUUCGGAUAGUAAAACUCUGUUAUUAGGGAAGAACAUAUGUGUAAGUAACUGUGCACAUCUUGACGGUACCUAAUCAGAAAGCCACGGCUAACUACGUG
rnacentral:rRNA from 1 species